UCGGGGGUCGUCUAACGGCAGGACAGGGGCCUUUGAAGCCCUUAAUUGAGGUUCGAUUCCUCACCCCCGAG
rnacentral:tRNA from 1 species